rnacentral:rRNA from 1 species
UCCGCCUAGAGAGAAGCUCGCGGCUGAUUAGCUAGUUGGUAAGGUAAGAGCUUACCAAGGCGACGAUCAGUAUCUGGUUUGAGAGGACGAUCAGACACACUGGAACUGAGACACGGUCCAGACUCCUACGGGAGGCAGCAGUGGGGAAUUUUCCGCAAUGGGCGAAAGCCUGACGGAGCAAUACCGCGUGAGGGAAGACUGCCUAUGGGUUGUAAACCUCAUUUUUCAGGGAGGAAUCAAUGACGUGUACCUGAAGAAUAA